AUUUUGACAAAAAGCCUGCACGGACGCAUACAUUUUCUCUCCAGACAAUAUCUGCUUAUAAAUCCUCGUAUUGCUUGGGGAAGUUUCAUUAUACCAGAUAGAAAAUAUCGCAGCCUUUGAAAAAGUUUGUAAAAGGGGAGGAGCUAGCACAGCGCAGAUGCCAAAAUGUUGCUUUUAUCUGCAUUUGCACCUGCACUUGUGCUCGUUCAUGUUUCUUCCUUCCUUGAAAAACCCUAAAGCCAAAGCUUCAGAGAAUGGAAAAGGUUUUAGAUAUAUGAGAACAAAAAUGACAAGAGGAAAGGAAUAAGGGAAGAGAAGGAAAAUGGAAAUCAGAAGGAAGAGCAGGAACAAGCAAGAGGUGCAGGUGCCAGUGCAGGUGAAUGCCAUUUUGGUUCAUUAAAAACAAACCCGCUAAUUUGUCUCUUGAUAACAUGCAUAUGUGUGCGCGCGCCAGUGCAGGAUGAAAGUAAGAGCUUGAAGAAAUCAUCUUAUUUUGAAUAUUUUAAGAGCCUAGAAUGGAUAGUUUGAAGCCCAACUUGCCCAAGACCAAAACAUAGCCCAUAAGUGGCCCAAGAUCCGCCAAAAAAGGUCAUUGUAGAAUAGCCAACUUGCGAGCUUUGCCCCGAAGUGCUCAGAGAGAAUUAGAAAAUGGGUCAUAUAUGGUUGGAAAGCCCUAGAAGUCUUCUUUCUCAUGGUCUUUACAACUUGUAAUUUGGAGAUUUCUACAAGAAAUUAUGAUAGAAUAAAGAGGAACUGUUCAGUUACAAAAUAUGAUAAAAGCUAGUUUUCAGUUACUCCUAUACUAAAAGCUGAUUGUAAUGAGCUAUAAAUGAGAGUCAAUUUAAGGAUGUAAAUGUGUCAGAUGUUAGAAAACUCCUAAGCCUUUUAAUAGGAGAAAAAUACACAGAAUAUGGAGGAAAAGGAGGAGAUAUAGAACAUCAAAGAGGAGAAGUCGUCCUCCACCUUGAGCCAUUUCUAGGUUUUAUCUUUCGUAACUUUUUAUGUAUUUUGUUAUGUUUUUAAUUUAGGUUAUGGAUACUUAGGGCUGCUUUGAAGCCCUAAACAUGAUUGAAUUAAUGUUAUGAUGUAAUUUUAGUUUAUUAAUUUCAUUUGCAAGUUAGAAUCA